rnacentral:lncRNA from 1 species
CAAAAGCCCCCUGACAUAGCACUCUUGUCAUACUGAGACUAAGGUAGAAAAAGACACUUCCAAAGGGUGUCAAUGACAAGAGAGAAAUAGACAUAGAGUGGUCACUUCAUUUACCAACCCUGGAACCGCAGACCUCUGGGCUUCCUGACGAAAGCUGCCCACCAAAUAUGAACAGAUAGGAACCUCGUGAUCUUUUGGGGCUGUCAUCCUUCUCUCAGUCUGCCAGUAACUGGGAUCCUGGCAUUUAUCCUGGAGGUCCCUGAAGGUCCAAGAGGGAACAGAGGAAAUCUGAUUGGCACAGGGGCCGCAGUGACUGUGUCCAGUCCUUCCUCACCCCGCUGCAGAGUCAGUCCAGGAGGCCUUUACCCACAGCACUGCCACCUCCCUCCACGACCCCUGUCUUUCUCUUCCCCAGAUUAAACGCUCCCACUUCUCUCCAUUCUUCUUUCUCCACCCCCAGGCCCAUUUCUGCCUCGGUUGCCUGCCUCCAACCACAAUCCAGUUUUUUGGCUCCCAGAGACAGACAUGCCCAGAUCUGAACACCACCCACCUGGGUAUGUUCUGCCAGUGUGCAAGGUGGGGCCCUCCAGGCCCUCUCCUCCCCUCCCUUUUUCUAGAUGCCAUUUCCUGCUAAAGCCACCUCUCCCAUGGCUAUAAACUACCUUCAAUCAGGGCACGAACUCUAGAGCACAAGAGAACCUGAGAUUCUUUAAAACAUUCUAGUUUAAUGUCCUCGUUUUACAGAUAAAGAAAAUGGGUACGGCCAAGACCAUAGACCUAGUGAUUGUCAGAUGAACAAUUAGACCCACAGAACCAUCCAAGCUACAGAGGACGCAUUCUGCCUUCCCUUGGAUCCUGUGGUUUGAGGAUGGAGGUCUAGGACCGUGGCAGGCUUUUUGUCCCAUGAGGGAAGGCCAUGGAGCUGAGGAAGGGGAAGAACACACACACCUAAUGGAAUCUCGAGAGAAAGUUCAGACAUCAAAAGACAGAAGCGACAGAGACCCAGAUGGAGUCUCACCCAGCCUGGAGUACAGUAGUAUGAUCUGCAACCUUUGCCUCCCAGGUUCAGGCGAUUCUCCUGUCUCAGCCUCCGGAGUAUCUGGGAUUACAGGCACGUGCCACCACGCCCGGCUAAUUUUUUGUAUUUUUAGUAGAGAUGGGUUUCACCGUGUUAGCCAGGAUGGUCUCGAACUCCUGACCUCGUGAUCUACCCGCCUUGGCCUCCCAAAGUGCUGGGAUUACAGGCAUGAGCUACCGUGCUCGGCCAUGCCUGGCUAAUUUAUAUAUACAUAUAUAUAUAUAUAUAUAUUUUUUUUUUUUUUUUUUUUUUUUUGAGACAGAGUCUUGCUCUGUCACCCAGGUUGGAGUGCAGUGGCAUGAUCUCGGCUCACUGCAAGCUCGCCUCCCAGGUUCACGCCAUUCUCCUGCCUCAGCCUCCUGAGUAGCUGGGACUACAGGCGCCCGCAUGACGCCCGGCUAAUUUUUUGUAUUUUUAGUAGAGACGGGGUUUCACUGUGUUAGCCAGGAUGGUCUCGAUCUCCUGACCUCGUGAUCUGCCCACCUCAGCCUCCGAAAGUGCUGGGAUUACAGACAUGAGCCACCGCACCCAGCCUUAUAUAUAUAUUUUUUAUUAGUGAAGAGGUUUCGCCAUAUUGGCCAGACUGGUCUCGAACUCCUGACCUCAGGUGAUCCACCCACCUCGGCCUCCCAAAGUGCUGGGAUUACAGGUGGGAGCCACCGCACCCUGCCUAAAAUGCAAAAGAUUUUGAAUGGCGAGAAUGGCGACAUGAUGCCACAAGUGGAAAAUUCCACACCUGGCUGCAUGUAAUGGGUUGAAGUCAAAAUGCAGUCAAAAACUUUGUUUCAUGUACAAAAUUAUUAAAAACAUUGUAUAAAAUCACCUUCAGACUAUGUGUAUGUGAAACCUAAGUGAAUUUAAUGGCUAGACUUCAGUUGCAUUCCCAAGAUCUCUCAUUAUGUAUAUGCAAAUAUUUUGAAAUUCAACCUGGUUCCACACAUUUUAGAUAAGGGAUACUCAAGCUGUAAUUAACAAAUAAACUUUUCACAGUCCAAGCAGC